UACGGAGGGGGCUAGCGUUGUUCGGAAUUACUGGGCGUAAAGCGCACGUAGGCGGCUUUGUAAGUUAGAGGUGAAAGCCCGGAGCUCAACUCCGGAAUUGCCUUUAAGACUGCAUCGCUAGAAUUGUGGAGAGGUAAGUGGAAUUCCGAGUGUAGAGGUGAAAUUCGUAGAUAUUCGGAAGAACACCAGUGGCGAAGGCGACUCACUGGACACAUAUUGACGCUGAGGUGCGAAAGCGUGGGGAGCAAACAGG
rnacentral:rRNA from 1 species